rnacentral:rRNA from 1 species
AACGAACGCUGGCGGCAUGCCUAACACAUGCAAGUCGAACGAGACCUUCGGGUCUAUUGGCGCACGGGUGCGUAAGGCGGGGGAACCUGCCCUUAGGUUCGGAAUAACUCCCCGAGAGGGGUGCUAAGACCGGAUAAUGUCUUCGGACCAAAGAGUUAUCGCUCUGGGAUGGGCCCGGGUUGGCUUAGCUGGUUGGUAGGGGAAAAGCCUACCAAGGCGACGAUCCAUAGCUGGUCGGGGAGGAUGAUCAGCCACACUGGGACUGAGACCCGGCCCAGACUCCUACGCGAGGCAGCAGUAGGGAGUACUAGACGCGGGACGCUGGCCUGAUACAGCAGUGCCGGGUGAGUGAUGAAGGGCUUAGGGUUGUAAUGCUCUUUUACCCGGGGUGAUAAUGACAGUACCGGGAGAAUAAGCACCGGCUAACUCCGUG